AAAAAAAAAAAAUUAUCAAGCAUCACUUCUGUUACCUGAGUUGCACAAAUAAGCAUGCAUCUAGUCUUAAAAUGUACAAGUGCUAUAAUUGUAUAGAAUUUAAAUGUAAUUGGUACGACAAGUGCUAUAAUUGUAUAGAAUUUAAAUGUAAUUGGUACGACACUGAAUCCUAUAUCUACACAUACAAAUGGCCUCCUUUUGCAUAGGCUUACACAAACAAAUUAUGGAUAUACUUCUUCUCUCUCCAGUUUUUUCUGCAACAUGACAUCAUUGAAAGCUCUUUUAAACAUCUUGGGUUUGAAUUUGAACUUCUAGUGAAUUUGGAAAGGGUUGCAAAUGCUAGACAACCUAGCAUGACGAGAAAAUGUGAAGAACCUGUAUUCUUGAUUGACAUUAUUACU
rnacentral:misc_RNA from 1 species